GUAGAACUCUGAUGACUGGUGGUACAUAUAUGUUGUUUUCGUCACUAUCAUUCGUUGGGACAACUAUUAAAUUCAACUCGUAGUUGUUCUCAUUGAACAUUGGAUGGACAGGAUCGCAGGCAAGGUUCUGAGGAUAUCUUCUAUCGGUGUGAGUUGAAAAGGGGAUUUUAUCACGGUGUGCGUGGACUCUGUCACAAUGUACCUGGACUUUGUCACGAUAUACCUGGACUUUGUCACAAUGUACCUGAACUUUGUCACGAUAUACCUGGACUUUGUCACGAUGUACUUCGACUUUGUCACGAUGUAUGUAGACUUUAUCACGAUAUAACUGAACUGUGUCACGGUAUAGCUGGAUGUCACGGUAUAUUAACAUUCAUUAUUAAAACAAAAAUUGAAAUUCAAAGAAUUAUGUCUCUUAGUACUGUGGGAAAUGAAUAAAAGUGAAAGAACAUA